rnacentral:rRNA from 1 species
UAGGGAAUCUUCGGCAAUGGACGAAAGUCUGACCGAGCAACGCCGCGUGAGUGAAGAAGGUUUUCGGAUCGUAAAACUCUGUUGUUAGAGAAGAACAAGGACGUUAGUAACUGAACGUCCCCUGACGGUAUCUAACCAGAAAGCCACGGCUAACUACGUGCCAGCAGCCGCGGUAAUACGUAGGUGGCAAGCGUUGUCCGGAUUUAUUGGGCGUAAAGCGAGCGCAGGCGGUUUCUUAAGUCUGAUGUGAAAGCCCCCGGCUCAACCGGGGAGGGUCAUUGGAAACUGGGAGACUUGGGUGCAGAAGAGGGGAGUGGAAUUCCAUGUGUAGCGGUAAAAUGCGUAGAUAUAUGGAGGAACACCAGUGGCGAAGGCGGCUCUCUGGUCUGUAACUGACGCUGAGGCUCGAAAGCGUGGGGAGCAAACAGG